UACGAAGGGGGCUAGCGUUGCUCGGAAUCACUGGGCGUAAAGGGUGCGUAGGCGGGUCUUUAAGUCAGAGGUGAAAUCCUGGAGCUCAACUCCAGAACUGCCUUUGAUACUGAAGAUCUUGAGUUCGGGAGAGGUGAGUGGAACUGCGAGUGUAGAGGUGAAAUUCGUAGAUAUUCGCAAGAACACCAGUGGCGAAGGCGGCUUACUGGCCCGAUACUGACGCUGAGGCACGAAAGCGUGGGGAGCAAAGCAGGGAU
rnacentral:rRNA from 1 species